rnacentral:misc_RNA from 1 species
UGGUGCAGUCGAUGAAGAAGUUUGCUUCGCGGAUCACGAGCACGAUGCCUGCGAGGAGGAACGCCACACCCAGCAUCGCCAGCACCGCGACAAGCAUCGCCGGCAGCGCAAGGAUGAUGUCCGCGUUGAAGUGAAGGUCGAAGAACGCCAGUCCGACCGCGAACAGGAUGAUCUGAC